rnacentral:rRNA from 1 species
AGACUACGACGUUGAUAGGUUGGGUGUGUAAGCGCUGUGAGGCGUUGAGCUAACCAAUACUAAUUGCCCGUGAGGCUUGACCAUAUAACACCCAAGCAAUU